rnacentral:rRNA from 1 species
GAGUUUGAUUCUGGCUCAGAGUGAACGCUGGCGGCGUGCCUAAUACAUGCAAGUCGAACGGAGAUUAAAGUAAGCUUGCUUAUUUUAAUUCUUAGUGGCGCACGGGUGAGUAAUGUAUAGCUAAUCUGCCCUACACUAGAGGACAACAGUUGGAAACGACUGCUAAUACUCUAUACUCCUUCUUUACAUAAGUUAAGUCGGGAAAGUUUUUCGGUGUAGGAUGAGGCUAUAUCGUAUCAGCUAGUUGGUGAGGUAACGGCUCACCAAGGCUAUGACGCGUAACUGGUCUGAGAGGAUGAUCAGUCACACUGGAACUGAGACACGGUCCAGACUCCUACGGGAGGCAGCAGUAGGGAAUAUUGCUCAAUGGGGGAAACCCUGAAGCAGCAACGCCGCGUGGAGGAUGACACUUUUCGGAGCGUAAACUCCUUUUCUUGGGAAAGAAUUAUGACGNACCCCAGGA